AUUGAACGCUGGCGGCAUGCUUUACACAUGCAAGUCGAACGGCAGCGCGGGCUUCGGCCUGGCGGCGAGUGGCGAACGGGUGAGUAAUGCAUCGGAACGUGCCCAGUAGUGGGGGAUAGCUCGGCGAAAGCCGGAUUAAUGCCGCAUACGACCUGAGGGUGAAAGCGGGGGACCGAAAGGCCUCGCGCUAUUGGAGCGGCCGAUGUCGGAUUAGCUAGUUGGUGGGGUAAAGGCUUACCAAGGCGACGAUCCGUGGCUGGUCUGAGAGGACGACCAGCCACACUGGGACUGAGACACGGCCCAGACUCCUACGGGAGGCAGCAGUGGGGAAUUUUGGACAAUGGGGGCAACCCUGAUCCAGCCAUGCCGCGUGCGGGAAGAAGGCCUUCGGGUUGUAAACCGCUUUUGUUCGGGAAGAAAUCCUCUGGGCUAAUACCCCGGGGGGAUGACGGUACCGGAAGAAUAAGCACCGGCUAACUACGUG
rnacentral:rRNA from 1 species